CUGGAUUGUAGUACAUUCCCAUUAAAUGCAAGUGUUGACUGAGAGAGAGAGAGAGAGAGAGAGAGAUCACGGUCAUACAGAGCGUAGCAGAGAAACCCAGCGACUGCCUUCAAAAGUCAGGAAAGAUGAGCAGGUUUCACAACUAAGAUGUAACAAAAGACAAACCUUUUCUACCUUUUUUUGUUGUUUUCACCUGUUCUUGUCCCUCUAGAUCCUCAUGACAGUACACCCUCAGGUUUAAUCAAAUCAACCACUCCCCCCCCGUCAGUUCUCAGCUCACUAAUCUUUUCAGGCUCAUUUACUCUCUCUUUCUCUCUCUGUCAACAAGUCAUUGAAGUGUUUUUCCCUUCCUUCUUUUCCUUUUUUUUUUUCUGUUUAUGGAAACACUAACUCUGUAC